AGAGUUUGAUCCUGGCUCAGGACGAACGCUGGCGGCGUGCCUAACACAUGCAAGUCGAGCGGAGACAGUGAGUAGCUUGCUAUGAGCUGUUUUAGCGGCGGACGGGUGAGUAACGCGUGAGCAACCUUUCCCAGACAGGGGAAUAACACACCGAAAGGUGUACUAAUACCGCAUAAGACCACGGGAUCACAUGGUUCUGGGGUAAAAGAAUUAUCGGUUUGGGGUGGGCUCGCGUCCGAUUAGGUAGUUGGUGAGGUAACGGCCCACCAAGCCGACGAUCGGUAGCCGACCUGAGAGGGUGAUCGGCCACAUUGGGACUGAGACACGGCCCAAACUCCUACGGGAGGCAGCAGUGGGGAAUAUUGCACAAUGGGGGAAACCCUGAUGCAGCGACGCCGCGUGAGUGAAGAAGUAUCUCGGUAUGUAAAGCUCUAUCAGCAGGGAAGAAAAUGACGGUACCUGACUAAGAAGCCCCGGCUAACUACGUGCCAGCAGCCGCGGUAAUACGUAGGGGGCAAGCGUUGUCCGGAAUAAUUGGGCGUAAAGGGCGCGUAGGCGGCUCGGUAAGUCUGGAGUGAAAGUCCUGCUUUUAAGGUGGGAAUUGCUUUGGAUACUGUCGGGCUUGAGUGCAGGAGAGGUUAGUGGAAUUCCCAGUGUAGCGGUGAAAUGCGUAGAGAUUGGGAGGAACACCAGUGGCGAAGGCGACUAACUGGACUGUAACUGACGCUGAGGCGCGAAAGUGUGGGGAGCAAACAGGAUUAGAUACCCUGGUAGUCCACACUGUAAACGAUGAAUGCUAGGUGUAGGGGGUAUCGACCCCUUCUGUGCCGCAGUCAACACAAUAAGCAUUCCGCCUGGGGAGUACGGCCGCAAGGUUGAAACUCAAAGGAAUUGACGGGGGCCCGCACAAGCAGCGGAGCAUGUGGUUUAAUUCGACGCAACGCGAAGAACCUUACCAGGUCUUGACAUCCACUUAAACUUACAGAGAUGUAAGGUGUGCUUGCACAAAGUGAGACAGGUGGUGCAUGGUUGUCGUCAGCUCGUGUCGUGAGAUGUUGGGUUAAGU
rnacentral:rRNA from 1 species